rnacentral:lncRNA from 1 species
CUGGAGUUCCUGAUGAGGAAGUGAUAAAGAGCGAGCGAGCUAGCAGGGGCCGCCAUGCAGCAGCAAGCUGCACAUGCACAACUGGAGUUCAAAGUCUGAGUACAGAUGUUGACGGAAGUUGACCUUCGACCAAAACCUGUGCAUUCAGAAAGUACCGACCACAGCUUCCUCCCUGCAGAUGACUGUAGCCUGACACUGCUCCCUCACAGAGACCACCUAUGGAGAUAAGCUGAGCCAUCUCUUCAUCCGUGCUGUAUAUCAUAAACACAUUGAGCUUCAGGACUACUGCUUGUAUGUCUCCAUCUGAGUACAUGGCCACUGGGUCCCAGCCUUACAUAAUUUAUAUCUAUCUUAUUCUUCAUGGCCCCCAGUCUGAUCAAGACCAAAGCCAUGUGGGUUUCUGCGGGAAGUCCUUUCUAAAGGGAGUCAAGGGUGGUAGCAUACUGAUAAUAUUGACAGAUGAUCACCAUUCCUAAGCAUGAUCAAUCCACCUCCUGCCUUCUAGACUCAGUGAUGGGGGAGAAGGCCAGGGCUCCUCUGGCAUCAGAUAAUCAGGAAGGGGUUUGAGAUAGCUGCCUUGUGUUUCCAGG